rnacentral:tRNA from 1 species
GCGCCUGUAGCUCAAAUGGAUAGAGCGCGACUCUCCUAAGGUUGAUGUGGCCGUUCGAUUCGGCCCAGGCGCA